GCACUGCUGAGGAGUCCCAUAAUAGGACGAAACAACCAUCCAGUGC
rfam:Schistosoma margrebowiei strain Zambia genome assembly, scaffold: SMRZ_scaffold0005130